rnacentral:tRNA from 2 species
GGGCUUGUAGCUCAGCAUGGAAGAGCGGUAGCCUCCUAAGCUAUAGGUCGAGGGUUCAAAUCCCUUCAAGCCCG